rnacentral:rRNA from 1 species
UACGGGGGGUGCGAGCGUUGUCCGGAAUCACUGGGCGUAAAGGGCGCGUAGGUGGCGUCGUAAGUCUGUGGUGAAAGCCCGGAGCUCAACUCCGGGUCUGCCGCGGAUACUGCGAGGCUUGAGUGCUGUAGGGGGGGGUAGAAUGCCGGGUGUAGCGGUGGAAUGCGUAGAGAUCCGGCAGAAGACCGGUGGCGAAGGCGGCCCCCUGGGCAGUAACUGACACUGAGGCGCGACAGCGUGGGGAGCAAACAGG